rnacentral:rRNA from 1 species
GAUGAACGCUGGCGGCGUGCUUAACACAUGCAAGUCGAACGGUGAAGCAGAGCUUGCUCUGUGGAUCAGUGGCGAACGGGUGAGUAACACGUGAGCAACCUGCCCCUGACUCUGGGAUAAGCGCUGGAAACGGCGUCUAAUACUGGAUAUGGGCUGCGACCGCAUGGUCAGCAGUUGGAAAGAUUUUUCGGUCUGGGAUGGGCUCACGGCCUAUCAGCUUGUUGGUGAGGUAAUGGCUCACCAAGGCGUCGACGGGUAGCCGGCCUGAGAGGGUGACCGGCCACACUGGGACUGAGACACGGCCCAGACUCCUACGGGAGGCAGCAGUGGGGAAUAUUGCACAAUGGGCGAAAGCCUGAUGCAGCAACGCCGCGUGAGGGAUGACGGCCUUCGGGUUGUAAACCUCUUUUAGCAGGGAAGAAGCGAAAGUGACGGUACCUGCAGAAAAAGCGCCGGCUAACUACGUG